GGCCGUAACUAUAACGGUCCUAAGGUAGCGAAAUUCCUUGUCGGGUAAGUUCCGACCCGCACGAAUGGUGUAACGAUCUGGGCACUGUCUCAACUACCCACCCGGCGAAAUUGUAGUACCGGUGAAGAUGCCGGUUACCUGCGGCAAGACGGAAAGACCCCAUGGAGCUUUACUGUAGCCUGAUAUUGGGUUUCGGAAAUCUAUGUACAGGAUAGGCGGGAGACUGGGAAGUAUGAGCGUCAGCUUAUACGGAGUCAUUGUUGGGAUACCGCCCUUAGGUUUCUGGAAUUCUAACCUGCGACCGUGAAUCCGGUCGGGGGACAUUGUCAGGUGGGCAGUUUGACUGGGGCGGUCGCCUCCGAAAAGGUAACGGAGGCGCUCAAAGGUUGGCUCAGCACGGACGGAAACCGUGCCUCAGAGUGUAAACGCAAAAGCCAGCCUAACUGCGAGGAUGACGGUCCGAGCAGUAACGAAAGUUGGAGUUAGUGAUCCGGCGGUAUGUGAAUGGAAAUGCCGUCGCUCAACGGAUAAAAGCUACCCUGGGGAUAACAGGCUGAUCUCCCCCAAGAGUCCACAUCGACGGGGAGGUUUGGCACCUCGAUGUCGGCUCAUCGCAUCCUGGGGCUGUAUUCGGUCCCAAGGGUUUGGCUGUUCGCCAAUUAAAGCGGUACGCGAGCUGGGUUCAGAACGUCGUGAGACAGUUCGGUCCCUAUCUGUCGUGGGCGUAGGAUAUUUGCAAGGAGCUGUCCCUAGUACGAGAGGACCGGGAUGGACGCACCUCUGGUGCACCAGUUGUCACGCCAGUGGCACAGCUGGGCAGCUAUGUGCGGAACGGAUAAACGCUGAAGGCAUCUAAGCGUGAAGCCGCCCUUAAGAUAAGAUAUCCCUUCUGUUUACAGAGUAAGACCCCUUGAAGACUACAAGGUUGAUAGGCUCAAAGUGUAAGCACGGUGACGUGUUUAGCUAGCGAGUACUAAUCGGUCGAGGGCUUAACCUU
rnacentral:rRNA from 1 species